rnacentral:rRNA from 1 species
UACGGGGGGGGCAAGCGUUGUUCGGAAUUACUGGGCGUAAAGGGCUCGUAGGCGGCCAACUAAGUCAGACGUGAAAUCCCUCGGCUUAACCGGGGAACUGCGUCUGAUACUGGAUGGCUUGAGUUUGGGAGAGGGAUGCGGAAUUCCAGGUGUAGCGGUGAAAUGCGUAGAUAUCUGGAGGAAUACCGGUGGCGAAGGCGGCAUCCUGGACCGACAUUGACGCUGAUGAGCGGAAAGCUAGGGGAGCAAACGGG